CCUACGGGAGGCAGCAGUGGGGAAUAUUGCGCAAUGGGCGAAAGCCUGACGCAGCGACGCAGCGUGAGGGACGAAGGCCUUCGGGUUGUAAACCUCUUUCAGCGGGGACGAAGCGAAAGUGACGGUACCCGCAGAAGAAGCACCGGCUAACUACGUGCCAGCAGCCGCGGUAAUACGUAGGGUGCAAGCAUUGUCCGGAUUUAUUGGGCGUAAAGAGCUCGUAGGCGGCUUGUCACGUCGGAUGUGAAAACUCGGGGCUCAACCCCGAGCCUGCAUUCGAUACGGGCUAGCUAGAGUGUUGCAGGGGAGACUGGAAUUCCUGGUGUAGCGGUGAAAUGCGCAGAUAUCAGGAGGAACACCGGUGGCGAAGGCGGGUCUCUGGGCAACUACUGACGCUGAGGAGCGAAAGCGUGGGGAGCGAACAGGAUUAGAUACCCUGGUAGUCCACGCCGUAAACGGUGGGCGCUAGGUGUGGGGAACCUUCCACGUUCUCUGUGCCGUAGCUAACGCAUUAAGCGCCCCGCCUGGGGAGGUACGGCCGCGAGACAACUACAANAGAGUAGACGCGUGAGACGUGCCGAACGGACGACGACGAGGGAGUAGG
rnacentral:rRNA from 1 species